AGGAACUUAGGAUAACCAGACCAAGGGCCUUCAAAGCCCUAAGUAGAAGUUAAAACCUUCUAGUUUCUG
rnacentral:tRNA from 1 species